AAAUUCGCUGUUCACAUCCGGGGGACUCAGGCGUAAACAAUCGAACCAAAAUCGAACCAACGCCCAGCCAAUCACGUGGCGCUCCUCCGGUCAUGUGACGCAGACGGUUCACCUCACAAGACCGGGGUCAACCACGGCUACCAGCAUGAACGACGGCGCUUCACAACACCGUCUGAACUGACCAGUCUGGUGAAAUUCUGGACUGGAUGGGAGACUCUACCAAGAACUCUCUCCUCAGAAGUAGUGAAUGGCAGAUACCUGACAGCCUCCACCUGCUAUGAGACCUUACAUUCCCAGGACAUUACAAGGACUACACAUCAUUUAAGACUGAUAUCCUGGCCUGUAUUUGCACCAGCCAGUCAAGAUAUGUUAGGUGUUGUUGUCUAGUUAGUUUUACUUGACUGACAAAACUAAGUGCACUUUUGGAUUCCCUCCCCUACCUGUUCUCCCAACUCACCUGACAGGUUAUCUGGCUCAAGUAUGCGUGUUUCUGCCAUACAUUUAAAGUAUCUGAAGUUAAGAAUAUUUCUGGUGAACAAUACAUGCAAUCACGGCAUUAAAGCAGGAGUUAAAAAUGAACUGGACUGUACUGAUUUUAUUUUCUCACUGGUGAAUGGGAUGAAAAUCCGUUGCAAUAUUACAAAAC
ensembl:lncRNA